rnacentral:lncRNA from 1 species
GAUGAAUAGGAUCAAAUAAGAUAACUACUGCCUAGGGGAAAAGCUGCCUACCAGGCUUGUGGAGCCGGGUGUUUUAGGACUGCAGGCGUGUGCUCACUUGUGGAUGGCUGAGUGAAACCUGCCCAUCGAGGUCGCAUUUAUUAGCAUCAUGAUCCUCAAAGGUCUUCUUGUCUGACACUCUUCAUUUCUGCCACUGCAGCAUGAUGCCUACCUUUCUGGCUAGGGAGGUAGUGUCUCCUAAACAAAGAGUGAGAAAAGAAAUAAAACUAGGGACAAACGAUCCUUGGAUUAGGGUUCUUAGCCUUGCUAGGGAAGGGAGAUGGUUAGUUUUUCCACCCGACUGGUUUGCUGUAUCAAUUGAUUUAAAUGGAACAGGAGGUGGCUUAGACAGGUGUGGUCUGCUAUGUGGAAAGCCUCCUUCUUUGGGUUUGCAGGGCCAGGAUUCUGGUCUCUCUUGCUGCAUGCAGUAGAUUUGGCUCAGGGACUGUCACAUCCCUCCAUCUUUUUUCUCCUGCUAAGUGCUUGCUCUUCCCGUGAUUCUGCAUCUUUUUUUUUUUCCCCCAUAGAGCACAGGAAAGGUGGGGUGUUAUGGCCCAGCAGUUGGCACAUGACUGGGGAAGAGGAAGAUUGAAAGGAUCUAGAUGAACUCAUUCUGUGCACUUCUGGUGACAGGCCAGGAAAAGGCUGGAGGGGGAUUUCCCAGGCCCUGACUGGUAGGGCAAAAAAAAAAAAAAAAAA